rnacentral:rRNA from 1 species
GACGAACGCUGGCGGCGUGCUUAACACAUGCAAGUCGAACGAAGUGGCGAACGGGUGAGUAAUACGUGGGUAACCUGCCCUCCUUUUUGGGAUAAGCCUUGGAAACGGGGUCUAAUACCGAAUAAAGGGGGAUGGGCUCGCGGCCUAUCAGCUUGUUGGUGGGGUGGUGGCCUACCAAGGCGGUGACGGGUAGCCGGCCUGAGAGGGUGAGCGGCGGUAGUGGGACUGAGGUACGGCCCAGAGUCCUACGGAGGGCGGCAGGGGGGGUUAUUGCACAAGGGGCGAAAGCCGGAUGCAGCGACGCCGCGUGGGGGAUGAAGGUUUUGGGGUGGUAAACCUCUUUCGCGAUCGAAAGGGUAGGUGGAGAAUAAGCGCCGGCUAACUACGUGCCAGCAGCCGCGGUAAUAC